UUUUUUUUUUUUUUGAGACAGGGUCUCACUCUGUUGCAGUGGCAUGAUCACGGCUCACUGUAGCCUCAACCUCCUUGGGCUCAGGUGAUCCUCCCACCUCAACCUUCCAAGUAGCUGGGAUCACAGGCAUGUGCCACCAUGCCCAGCUAAUUUUUGUAGAAACGAGGUUUCCCUAUGUUGCCCAGACUGUCCUUGAACUCCUGGGCUCAAGCAAUCCACCCGCCUGAGCCUCCCAAAGUGCUGGGAUUACAGGCGUGAGCCACUGUGCUCAGCCUAGUAUGUCUUAAUAGAACCAGAGCAUAUUUGAGGAGCUGGUGAGAAGAACAUGUGGAGGGAUUGCUGGGGGAGGAGGCAGCAGAGGCCAGGAGGAGCCUGUGUUCCCGCAGCAUAGAGGGCCUUGUGUGCUAUGCAAAGGAGCUCACGUCUUAUCCUGAAGAAGGAGGGAGUGGGCUCAUAGAACAAAAGGAAAAGAGUGUUUCAGGAAGAGACCGGGGUGUAAUCAGCAAUGCCAAACACUGCUGAACAUCCAGGAAGAUAAGGAGGUGUUCAAGAAAAACAAACAAACAAAACCCCACAGAACUAAAGCAGAUUUUAUUUGGAACUACUGAAAUAGGGGUAAGAGACCCCAGCAUAGAACUGGGCUAAAUUCCGAAUGCAGCAUGAGAAAGUAGGAAUUUAUAGCCAAGGAACAGGGUGGGAGUGGUGGCUGGAACAUUACUAAGAGGAGGAUGGGGGACUCUGGCUAUGCCGACCUAACAGGAUUCUUGCUGAAGAUGGGCAGGAUGGUCAGACAUCACCUGGGGAUGGUGGAGGAAGAGGAACCCAGUUGGAUAUCGAGGGUGAUCAGAUAGGCAGAGUGAGAGGAUAUUGGUAACCUGACUUAACCACCAGGUUCUUCCUAAAAGUGGAUUUUACAAGGAAGUGCAUGCAUAGGUCUAAGAGACAGUUCAGGAGCUUAAAGCUCAGUUUGGUCAAGAAGAGAAUCUUUGUAGAGAGAAAAGUCUUCUCUGGCUUCGAGGAGGGCAGGGUCCCAGUGGGUGGAGAAGGGGACAGGAGGUGGGAAGGGGAGAAGGGAGUGGGGACCCCUCUUCCAGAUGGGGGCAUGCAGAUGAUUUUUAGAAGCAUUCUAUAGAAAUAAUUCAUGCUCAUAGUAGAAAAGCUGGAAAAUAGGGAUAGUAAGAUAAAAAAGUAAAAAUUGCCUCUCAUUCUAUACCAGAUAUAACAAUUGUGCUAAUUUUUUGUUCCUUCUCUCCUGACAUUUUUUUCUAUGCCUAUACUUAAGUCUUUUCUUUUAAAUAAUAUAGAAUCUUAAUAGAUAUACUAUUUUGUAACUUGCUUUUUCAUUUACCAUCCUGUAAACAUCUUUCCAUGUAAAAUUACCUCCAAAACCAUAAUUUUAAAUGGCUCCUUAGAACCGCAUAUGCGGAUGGAGAAUAACUGACUUCUCUGAUCCUUAAGCUCCGUACAUGUGAUGGAAAGCUGGUGCGUGGGAGGAGUACUGAGCGGGGUGGAUGAUCUUUGAAGUGCUGGCUGGUGUUUAGGCCGGAUCCCUAGGAAGAAGGCUUGGGAGAAAAGUGCUCACUUUUUUGGGAAACUUGUUUCUUGAGUCUUUCACUGUGCAUUGUUAUGUUGAACAGCAGAGGAGAUUGGAAGAUUGGGAGAAAGGAGACAGAGCUUCAUUGCUUUGCAUUAUAAAGGAAUUUGGGAGGCAUUGUCUGCCUGCAAUGCAGCUCCUGAGCUCUGGGAGGUGGCUGGGCUAAUGGAGGGCGCACAGGGUCCAGCCACCUGGAGGAGGCCCAGGGCGGGCCAGCUAAGGCUGCAGACCUUGGUGGGUGGCAUGGUGGCAUUUAGUGACUCCCUUGAGUCCUGCUCUGCUCUGUCCAAGACGCCCCACCUCAAACUUUCAGGGCCUACUAUGCACCCUGAUCUCGAGGAAAUGGUAUCUAGUACUCAGUGCACCACAGUCCUGGAAGUGCCUAGUCCACAGGAGUCAGGAAGCUUGGACUGACUGUGCAAGCGAGGCUCUAGGGAUCCUCAGGAAUCUUUGCCUGAGGCACAGCAAAUCCAGUUAUUUUGUUUAGAUACCGUAGAAAGCCCCAGAACUUGGAAGCACAGAGACUUGAUGCAUUAGAUGGGUUUACAUCUGCACUCUACUAAACUGUGCUCAGGAAAGCUGAAUCAGGCACAUCUUCCCCAACCCUCGCCAGCCCCGAUUCAUUUUCUUACAUCCUCUCAUGUGUGAGAAGUGAAAGUGCUCUUUCUUGUUUAAGUACAUUUAUAUGAUUACAGGUGAGGUUGAGCAUCUUUCACCUAUUUGUUAGUCUUCUGUUUCUUUGUGACUGUCCUGUGUGUUUCCUUUGCACAUGAGAAAAAAAAUUGCUCCAUUUGUCUUUUUCUUGUAGAUUUGUAAGAAU
rnacentral:lncRNA from 1 species